rnacentral:rRNA from 1 species
CGAACGCUGGCGGCGUGCUUACCACAUGCAAGUCGACCGGAAAGGCCCUGCUUUUGUGGGGUGCUCGAGUGGCGAACGGGUGAGUAACACGUGAGUAACCUGCCCUUGACUUUGGGAUAACUUCAGGAAACUGGGGCUAAUACCGGAUAGGAGCUCCUGCUGCAUGGUGGGGGUUGGAAAGGUUCGGCGGUUGGGGAUGGACUCGCGGCGUAUCAGCUUGUUGGUGGGGUAGUGGCUUACCAAGGCUUUGACGGGUAGCCGGCCUGAGAGGGUGACCGGCCACAUUGGGACUGAGAUACGGCCCAGACUCCUACGGGAGGCAGCAGUGGGGAAUAUUGCACAAUGGGCGGAAGCCUGAUGCAGCAACGCCGCGUGCGGGAUGACGGCCUUCGGGUUGUAAACCGCUUUCGCCUGUGACGAAGCGUGAGUGACGGUAAUGGGUAAAGAAGCACCGGCUAACUACGUG